GCGGAAAGCAGGACUGUGGCUGGCACCGCCCCCGAGGGCGCGGGGCUGGAGCGCGGACGAGCCCCUCCCCCGCCCUCUGCGCGGGAGCUCGGCUCCUCCCCACGGGCCCCUGCUGGGCGGGAGGCGGGAAACGGCCGCCUUCACCCUACCCGGCCCGGGAUCCCGCAGCCCCGCCGCGCCUGUCAGCUCCCCGCUCACCUGUCAAUCCUCUCCGGGGCUGGCGGCUCGGGGCGGCCCGGGCUCCUGGCUACGCGUCCCCGCCGGUCCCAGGAGCCCGCGCGUCUCAGGGAGACUCGCUCAGCCCCGCCGCGCAGAGGUGGGUGCCCGCGGACGGCACCGGGGCCAGGGCUGGGGAGGGGCGGCGGGCGGGUCGUGGGAGCGUGGCCGUCCCGGAGCAGUCCAGCCCCCGAUUUGAAAUUAACCCGCUCCCGGCGCGAGCGGCUCCCGCGGGCGCGGAGCCUCCCCUCCCCCACGCCCGCUCUCUCGGCCCGGGGCCCCGCGCGCCAAUCGGCGCCUCUGCACGGCCGCCGCGGCGAAUCAGGCUGUAGGCACCGCCCUCCGACCCCGCCUGCUGCCAGACUUGGGGAAAAGUCCUCAAAAACUUUUCCUAUUUUUUUUUUUUUUUUUUUUCUUUUUGCAAACACCCUUUAUCCGAGAUCGAAGUUGGGGGAUGAAAUUUGGCUUGACCUGGCUGGCCAGGGCACGCGAGCUCCCGGCCAUCCUCAGCUUGGGGCUAUGUCAACCGGUGCGCAACCCGGGAUCUGCUCACCUGCCCUCUGGUCCCCCGUGGGACCCUUCCCACUGCCACCCUCUUCAGGACUGCUCCGCUUCUGCCCCACGGUUUCCAGAACAUGUGAGGAGCAAGGAGCUUUGGUGUCCGAAGCUGACGGGCUCGGGACGUUGGCUGAUCGCUGAACACAGAGGAUUGUGAACCUGCUUUGUACAAAUCGGCUGCUUAUUUGAGAAAUUGUGGCUUCUGAGUCAUUGGCAGUGGCUCUGCCCCUGCCCCUCCUGAAGUGGUUGCUGACAUUGACAUAAACGGGACUGUGGAACGUGAGCAUGUUCUCACUGGCCUUGGAGCUGCAUGCAGAGGGAGAGCAGGCUCUGAUGAUCAUGGCCCUUCUUCCCAAAUGAGGUUAUGCACAGUCACCAAGAGCUUUAGCAACCCACUCCUAAAUCCUGAGCAGAUAAUCUGCUCACUCCCAAGCCCUUCUGAACAACCCUUUAGGGGUCUGAUUUGACUAUCAGCCUCAAAAUGUUCAGAUCUGUUGUGGUAGAGUUUUACCUUUGUCACAUGGUAAAUACAGGAUCUACCUUACUUCUGUAGACAGAACACUCAAGGUCCUUCUAUUUGAAAAUGUUAAAUAUAUGCCCCAAGCGUUUGUCAAUGUGGUAACUGGUUUCAGUAAAUUGAUGGUCUCAUGGCCACAGUUAGGGAUGAACUGCAUCUGGGUUUGCCCCUGUGCUUUUGGAAUAGGCUUCACUUUAUUACAAAGUCCAUCUCUGGAAUAAACUGUUACAGUUUUAAUGAUAGUGGAAGUAUAUGCAGCAACAUUACUGGGCUAGGAUAGAGCUCAGAGCCAGAUGUUUGCCUAGCACCCAUGAGUCUGGAUGUGGAUUCAGUCACUGGCACCAAAAUAAUAAUCAUUUCAUUGAUAGAGAAAGUUGUUUGCUGGGCUGGCUUACUGUCACUGUGAUAGUCAUAGCAGUGUCAGACUGUGGAUGGCUGCAUUUGGAAAACAAGCAUCUUCUAGUCAGUCAUCUCAUAGAAUUGGUGAUACUUGAAGUUAGGAUAUGAGUCUAGAGUGAUUAAGAGCUUUUGAAGAGGAUCUGGAUUCAAUUCCCAACAACUCCAACUCCCAGGGAUCAAAUGCUUCUGCUUCCAAGGGCAUGUACACCCCACCACCACCACCACCACACACAUAAAAUUAAGAAAUAAAACUUAGGAUUUGAAGUAAAACAAACCUUGCUUUUAAAGUCCCAUAUUAUUAUUGAAACUUUGUAGACUUAAGCAAACACUUCCUCAGGAACCCACACACACAUACACUAAAAGAGGAAUUAAAAUAUAUCCCUGGAGGGGUGUUGUGAGGAAUAGAUGAGUUAAUGCAUGGAAACCAGUACAGUAUUUAGCAUAUACUAAGUAUUCAAAGCAUAUAUAUAUAUAUAUAUAUAUAUAUAUAUAUAUAUAU
ensembl:lncRNA